GAUGAAGAACGUAGCGAAAUGCGAUAAGUAAUGUGAAUUGCAGAAUUCAGUGAAUCAUCGAAUCUUUGAACGCACAUUGCGCCCGCCAGUAUUCUGGCGGGCAUGCCUGUUCGAGCGUCAUUUCAACCCUCAAGACCCCUUCGGGGGACUUGGUGUUGGGGACCGGCACAGGGGCCUGCCUGCUUGUCUUGCAGCGCCCUCGCCGCCCCCGAAAUGAAUUGGCGGCCUCGUCGCGGCCUCCCCUGCGUAGUAGCACAACCUCGCAACGGGAACGUGACGGCGGCCACUGCAGUAAAACAACCCCAAUUUUAUUAGAGUUGACCUCGAAUCAGGUAGGAAUACCCGCUGAACUUAAGCAUAUCAAUAAGCGGAGGA
rnacentral:misc_RNA from 1 species